rnacentral:rRNA from 1 species
UACAUGGGGUGCAAACGUUGCUCGGAAUUAUUGGGCGUAAAGCGCGCGUAGGCGGUUACUUAAGUCGGAUGUGAAAGCCCUCGGCUUAACUGAGGAAGUGCACCCGAAACUGAGUAGCUAGAGUACGAAAGAGGGUCGCGGAAUUCCCGGUGUAGAGGUGAAAUUCGUAGAUAUCGGGAGGAACACCGGUGGCGAAGGCGGCGACCUGGGUCGAGACUGACGCUGAGGCGCGAAAGCAUGGGGGAGCGAACAGG